rnacentral:rRNA from 1 species
UACGAAGGGGGCUAGCGUUGCUCGGAAUUACUGGGCGUAAAGCGCACGUAGGCGGCUUCUUAAGUCGGUGGUGAAAUCCUGGAGCUCAACUCCAGAACUGCCUUCGAUACUGGGAAGCUCGAGUCCGGGAGAGGUGAGUGGAACUGCGAGUGUAGAGGUGAAAUUCGUAGAUAUGGGGAGGAACACCGGUGGCGAAGGCAGCCACCUGGACGGACACUGACGCUGAGACGCGAAAGCGUGGGUAGCAAACAGG